rnacentral:rRNA from 1 species
GGAGUCUGGGCCGUGUCUCAGUCCCAAUGUGGCCGUUCAACCUCUCAGUCCGGCUACUGAUCGUCGACUUGGUGAGCCGUUACCUCACCAACUAUCUAAUCAGACGCGAGCUCAUCUUUCAGCGAUAAAUCUUUGAUAGCAUGAUCAUGCGGUCUUGCUAUGUUAUGCGGUAUUAUCAGUCGUUUCCAACUGCUAUCCCCCUCUGAAAGGCAGAUUGCUCACGUGUUACUCACCCGUCCGCCACUAAGUUUUAAAAAGCAAGCUCUCUAAAACUCCGUUCGACUUGCAUGUGUUAAGCGUGCCGCCAGCGUUCGUCCUGAGCCAUGAUCAAACUCU